UUCAAUAAUACCAAAAAAAAAUUUAUGCAGUAUUUCAAACAUUCAAUCAAAUUAUCCAACCAUGAAGCAUUACAAAAUAUUGAGAACCCAUAAUUCAAAACAUCAUGCCACAUGCAUAAUAUAUUAUGUGUUAAGUCAUGCANNNNNNNNNNNNNNNNNNNNNUGUCAAGGAUCAAAAUCAAUUCUUUUCAAAUAAACUCUCCCUAUAUAAUUUUGCACUGAUUUCAUCCUUAAAGUGUGUUUUCAAGUGAUUAAAAAUUUGACUUAAUUCUUCUUAUAUACUUUCAUUUACUUUGUCUUUCAUUUUUAACUUUCUUAUGCUCUAUACUCUAUUUGCUCCCUAUCCGGUGGAGUUGGGAAGGGGCACGAGGUACUACCACUAGCCUCCCUCUUGUGCCGUCCCUAAUAUACCCUACACCGAAUAGUUGGGUCAAAUAGUGCCGGGUACUGCCACUAGCCUCCCCAUUGGCACCAU
rnacentral:lncRNA from 1 species